GUCAAGCACAUAUAACACACAAGUAAGAGCGAUAAAUACCGUUUGUAGCACGGAAAAUAUUUGUUAAAUAACUCGGCUCUUUAUCCACGAUGUGUAGGCCACUGGACUUUUACUGAAUUCGCCGGUAGCCAAUCACCUCGACAACUUGCUGCAACUGGGGUUGUGUGUGUCUGAAUGUUUUCGAACGCCUGACUGCAAAUCGUAUCCUCAUUUCCUCACCCAAGUGCCUUGUUUAUGUCUGUCCAGUCAUUACGCUCGAUAAUAUUUGAAUAACAUUUGGCAUAUGGUAUGAAGACUAUGUCUUUGUGGGUGACAGUGACGUUAAAGACCAUAACCCCGUAUCACAGCACUAAAUGGCACCAAUGUAAGAAGUGAAAUCCUAUGUGUCGAGACAUCGAUUUAUUUUUGUACACCUAACUUAACAAUAUGGCGAUCGAACGAAAUGUAUACUUAAUUUUCAAUUAUAUUGCUUAAAAUUUGUACUUGAUUUUCACUAGCUAAAACGUUGAAAAGGGAAAGGUAAACAUUUAAACAUACCCGCAAAUUACGUAUAGAACAAUUCUGUUUAUACGAAGUAUCGAUUAGGUAACGAUUUGAGUAUUUGGAUAUUCAGGCAAAGGCGAAAUUGUGUCGGCAGACAUCACGAAUCGUUGUGUAAAUAAAACAAUAGAAAAUGGAAUUCACAAAUAAUUCUUCCGAGAACUUCAUGUUUCGAUACAUAGAUAGCUACUGUUUGUUUUGUUUUUUCCCUUCUGUCUCUGUCCGGAAAUAAAAUAUAACGCAAAAUUCAGGAGUUGUCGGGAAUAUUAUGUUGUGAGUGGCUAUUCCAGUAAAGGAAACCAAGUUUACGGAUUUAAAAAACCAUUGUAGAUUGUCUGUCGUCCACUAGCCUAGCAGAAAGUCUGUGAGUAGAAUGGUAAUGACCACUGUUGUGUAAGCCGCUAUGCCAUGUUAUCACUAGCAGUACCCCUUCCGUUCCACAGAGCGGGGCACCAGUCAACAUUACUAAGUCUUCAGAUGGCAGCACACACCAACCACCUGGAACCUUAGGCCUCUGGUAAAUAUCGUGGUGGUUUCGGUGGAACGUGAAAAUGGAAGAGGCGACUUCCCCCGAAACGUUUGUAACAAAACACGGCGUGAAGACGCAAAACAAACAAUACACAUUUUCACCGCCAAGAAAACCUAAAAUCUUGCACAAUGUAAUUUAAGUAAGGGAAUCAUCAUACGAAAAUGUAAGAAUAAAGUAUAAGAUUGUGACAUUAA